AGAGUUUGAUCCUGGCUCAGGACGAACGCUGGCGGCGCGCCUAACACAUGCAAGUCGAACGAGAGAGAAGGAGCUUGCUUCUUCGAUCGAGUGGCGAACGGGUGAGUAACGCGUGAGGAACCUGCCUCAAAGAGGGGGACAACAGUUGGAAACGACUGCUAAUACCGCAUAAGCCCACGGGUCGGCAUCGACCAGAGGGAAAAGGAGCAAUCCGCUUUGAGAUGGCCUCGCGUCCGAUUAGCUAGUUGGUGAGGUAAUGGCCCACCAAGGCGACGAUCGGUAGCCGGACUGAGAGGUUGAACGGCCACAUUGGGACUGAGACACGGCCCAGACUCCUACGGGAGGCAGCAGUGGGGAAUAUUGCACAAUGGGGGAAACCCUGAUGCAGCGACGCCGCGUGGAGGAAGAAGGUCUUCGGAUUGUAAACUCCUGUUGUUGAGGAAGAUAAUGACGGUACUCAACAAGGAAGUGACGGCUAACUACGUGCCAGCAGCCGCGGUAAAACGUAGGUCACAAGCGUUGUCCGGAAUUACUGGGUGUAAAGGGAGCGCAGGCGGGAAGACAAGUUGGAAGUGAAAUCCAUGGGCUCAACCCAUGAACUGCUUUCAAAACUGUUUUUCUUGAGUAGUGCAGAGGUAGGCGGAAUUCCCGGUGUAGCGGUGGAAUGCGUAGAUAUCGGGAGGAACACCAGUGGCGAAGGCGGCCUACUGGGCACCAACUGACGCUGAGGCUCGAAAGUGUGGGUAGCAAACAGGAUUAGAUACCCUGGUAGUCCACACCGUAAACGAUGAUUACUAGGUGUUGGAGGAUUGACCCCUUCAGUGCCGCAGUUAACACAAUAAGUAAUCCACCUGGGGAGUACGACCGCAAGGUUGAAACUCAAAGGAAUUGACGGGGGCCCGCACAAGCAGUGGAGUAUGUGGUUUAAUUCGACGCAACGCGAAGAACCUUACCAAGUCUUGACAU
rnacentral:rRNA from 1 species